AUACGGAGGGUGCGAGCGUUAAUCGGAAUUACUGGGCGUAAAGCGUACGUAGGCGGUUGGUUAAGUUAGAUGUGAAAGCCCCGGGCUUAACCUGGGAACUGCAUUUAAAACUGGCGAACUAGAGUUGAGUAGAGGGGAGUGGAAUUUCAGGUGUAGCGGUGAAAUGCGUAGAGAUCUGAAGGAACACCAGUGGCGAAGGCGACUCCCUGGAUUCGAACUGACGCUGAGGUACGAAAGCGUGGGUAGCAAACGGGAUUAGAUACCCUAGUAGUCC
rnacentral:rRNA from 1 species